rnacentral:rRNA from 1 species
UACGAAGGGGGCUAGCGUUGCUCGGAAUCACUGGGCGUAAAGCGCACGUAGGCGGAUCUUUAAGUCAGGGGUGAAAUCCCGGAGCUCAACUCCGGAACUGCCUUUGAUACUGAGGGUCUUGAGUCCGGGAGAGGUGAGUGGAACUGCGAGUGUAGAGGUGAAAUUCGUAGAUAUUCGCAAGAACACCAGUGGCGAAGGCGGCUCACUGGCCCGGUACUGACGCUGAGGUGCGAAAGCGUGGGGAGCCAAACAGG